rnacentral:lncRNA from 1 species
ACCAAUCAGACCAAGGCGGUUCCUUUGUGCUAUUCAAAUACCGAACGGACCCCGGGCCUCCAACGCCGCUGCUGCCUCGAAUGUUCUCCUGGGGCCGCGGCACCGCGUGGGACUCGGAGCUUCCUAGGUAGCCGCCCACAGCGUCGGUCGUCUCUCGGGAACCACGUUGAGGACUGCGGCUACCCUGGACCUGGCUCCCGCGAGCUGGGGGUCGGCUCACCUGAGCGCCGCGGAGAUGGCUCCGCCCCCUUCCGCACCGUUGGGCCUCACCUGCAGCAGGUGCGCGCGGUUCCCCGCUCCGGGCCACGCGGCGCCUCCUCUUUCUCACCUGCUAAGGCCAGGGGAAUCUGGGAGAGGAUCUUCAAGUGUGGAGGCCUCACCCCUUCACAUCGGCUGUCUCCUGGUCUCAACAUAGCUGGUGCUCCUUCGGGUCUCACAUUCAGGCAAAAUCAAAAGGAGCAUUUUCCAAAGAGCAGGGAGUGGGGAGGUGAUGCCUGCCCUGGGGCUUCUCAGAUGUUUGGGGUAAGUUUGGAGGCUGGAUUGUUUGCUCAUGGAGCCAUUUGGGCUCUCUCCAUGGAAGUGCCUGAGUCACCAGCACCAGCUCCCGCCACAAAGUAGAGAGAGGCAAGGAAAGGGCAUCUUAGUCCUCUUAGUUCCCACCAGAGGACCCAGGACCCAGGUUUGUGUUGUGCUGGGUACCAUUUGGCAGUACACGGACUGUGGCUUUAACAAGUAUUUGGAAGCUCAGAAAUAGUUCACUGCUCUCCACAGCCCUGCCUCAGGUCCCUUGGAGCCCCUGUCCUCUGAGGCCACCGUGCUGGUCGUGCUGGUGGAGGGUCUGCAGGGCAGGCAGAGGCAGCAGGGACCAGGCCAGCCUCUCAGUGUUUGGGAACCCGGGUGGAGGAAGUCCAGGCUCCCCAGUUGGGUAGAAUUAAGACAGUUUUCUCUGAGAUUCACUGCUUUCAUGAGUUCCCAGUAACAAGGUCUUAAUUUCUACCGUUUGACCCCAAAGCCACAAAAAGCACAAAGAAACAGGACUUGAGAGCACCUAGCAGUUUCCAGGGCUUCAGGUUAGCCACAGCAUAGGAGGCAGCUAUGAGGCCCCUCAGGUAGCCCUCAGUCACGGAGGGCUGUGCAAAGCAGGGGUCUCAGGAUGUUUAUGAGUCUGUACCAUAGACCCUGAGAGUCCAGUAUGGUAAGUCAGUCACUCCUGGUCCUGCCAUCCUGGUGACCACAUCCUGGUGACCCAUCCCAGGGGCCCAAGUAGUAGAAGGAAAGAACCUUAAGCUGUCCUCCGAAGUCCACACACACCAUUGCAUGCCUGUUCCCUCUCCAAGUUACAAAAAAUAAUAUAAUUCAAAAAACAAGGGGCUGGCAAGAUGUUUCAGCAGUUCGGAGAUUUCAGUUUCUGUCGAGGACCUGAAUUCAGUUCCCAGCACCCAAGUUAAGUGGCUCACAACCCACAGCCAGACGCUGUCACUCCAGCUCUUCGGGACCCAAAGCCUAUGAACUCUGAGUAACUGCAUUCACUUGCACCAAUUCUCUCUCUCUCUCUCUGUCUCUGUCUCUCUCUCCUUUAUCCUCUUCUCUCUCUCUCUCUCUCUCUCUCUCUCUCUCU